AUUGAACGCUGGCGGAAUGCUUUACACAUGCAAGUCGAACGGCAGCACGGACUUCGGUCUGGUGGCGAGUGGCGAACGGGUGAGUAAUGUAUCGGAACGUGCCCAGUCGUGGGGGAUAACGUAGUGAAAAUUACGCUAAUACCGCAUACGAUCUAUGGAUGAAAGCGGGGGAUCGCAAGACCUCGCGCGAUUGGAGCGGCCGAUAUCAGAUUAGGUAGUUGGUGGGGUAAAGGCCCACCAAGCCAACGAUCUGUAGCUGGUCUGAGAGGACGACCAGCCACAGUGGAACUGAGACACGGUGCAGACUCCUACGGGAGGCAGCAGUGGGGAAUUUUGGACAAUGGGCGAAAGCCUGAUCCAGCCAUUCCGCGUGCAGGAUGAAGGCCCUCGGGUUGUAAACUGCUUUUGUACAGAACGAAAAGGUUUCUACUAAUACUAGGAGCUCAUGACGGUACUGUAAGAAUAAGCACCGGCUUACUACGUGCCAGCCGCCGCAGUAA
rnacentral:rRNA from 1 species